rnacentral:rRNA from 1 species
AGCGAACGCUGGCGGCAGGCCUAACACAUGCAAGUCGAGCGCCCAGCAAUGGGAGCGGCAGACGGGAGAGUAACACGUGGGAACGUGCCUUUUGGUUCGGAAUAACUCAGGGAAACUUGAGCUAAUACCGGAUAAGCCCUUACGGGGAAAGAUUUAUUGCCAAAAGAGCGGCCCGCGUCCGAUUAGCUAGUUGGUGAGGUAAUGGCUCACCAAGGCGACGAUCGGUAGCUGGUCUGAGAGGAUGACCAGCCUCAUUGGGACUGAGACACGGCCCAAACUCCUACGGGAGGCAGCAGUGGGGAAUAUUGGACAAUGGGCGCAAGCCUGAUCCAGCCAUGCCGCGUGAGUGAUGAAGGCC